rnacentral:rRNA from 1 species
AUUGAACGCUGGCGGCAUGCUUUACACAUGCAAGUCGAGCGGCAGCGCGGGGGCAACCCUGGCGGCGAGCGGCGAACGGGUGAGUAAUGCAUCGGAACGUGUCCUCAAGUGGGGGAUAACCCGGCGAAAGCCGGGCUAAUACCGCAUAUGCUCUGAGGAGGAAAGCGGGGGCUCGCAAGACCUCGCGCUUUGGGAGCGGCCGAUGUCCGAUUAGCUAGUUGGUGAGGUAAAGGCUUACCAAGGCGACGAUCGGUAGCUGGUCUGAGAGGAUGAUCAGCCACACUGGGACUGAGACACGGCCCAGACUCCUACGGGAGGCAGCAGUGGGGAAUUUUGGACAAUGGGGGCAACCCUGAUCCAGCCAUGCCGCGUGCGGGAAGAAGGCCUUCGGGUUGUAAACCGCUUUUGGCCGGGAAGAAAGGGUUCAGGCUAAUACCCUGGAUUUUUGACGGUACCGGCAGAAUCAGCACCGGCUAACUACGUGC